rnacentral:tRNA from 1 species
GCCGACGUAGCUCAGCCCGGUAGAGCGGCUGACUUGUAAUCAGCAGGUCGGGGGUUCAGAUCCCUCCGUCGGCU